rnacentral:rRNA from 1 species
GACAGAGGGUGCAAACGUUGCUCGGAAUCACUGGGCGUAAAGGGCGUGUAGGCGGGAAGGUAAGUCGAACGUGAAAUCCCCGGGCUCAACCCGGGAACUGCGUCCGAUACUGGAAGGCUUGAAUCCGGGAGAGGGAUGCGGAAUUCCAGGUGUAGCGGUGAAAUGCGUAGAUAUCUGGAGGAACACCGGUGGCGAAGGCGGCAUCCUGGACCGGCAUUGACGCUGAGGCGCGAAAGCCAGGGGAGCAAACGGG